rnacentral:lncRNA from 1 species
AUCCAGUUCCUCCUGCGACGCCAUUGUCACGAAACCGAAGCCUCGUGAGCGCCCAGUGUCUCUGUCGUAGACGACCCUGGCAUCGACCACUUUGCCAUGCUCGCUGAACAGCUCCACCAACCUAGAGUCGUCCACUUGCCAUGGCAGGUUGCCCACAUAGAUCCUGAAUGAAGACCCGGAAUCACGGGGAGGCCUUUCCACCCGGGCGCCUCUAGGAGCUGCCUUGUUUACAGUCAACAGCCUCCCAUUCACAUCCUGCCCACGGUAAGAUCAAUCAGCAAAGCACAUGUUUGUACAUUCUUUAGCACAUGCUUAAGCAGCAUACGAAUUACACGCAUGACUCUGAGCUAGGAGAGUACUAAUACCUAACACACAAAUCAAUUAAAAUGGGACAUAUAACAGGAAACAUAUGCAAAUGCAAACCAGGAGCAUCCAUUAUAUACAGGUUCCAUUAACUGAAAUCAGAAUAUUAAAGCACAGCAGUCCCAUCAUCAAGUCCACUUACGUAGCGAUGGAACAUCUCUACAGCCUUCUCAGCCUCCUCAAUGGUACUCAUGGUGACAAACCCGAAUCCACGGCUCUGGUCGGUUUCUCGGUUGUAAAUGACCUGCACAUGCACCAAACAGAAACCACAUUUUUAGGACAAAGAGGAAAGGCAUACAGCCUCCAAGCAUCUACAAUCCAACCGCCCCUCCAAAAAUAGUGAUAAAGCCAAAUACCAUGCUAGGCGUGAAUCAACGGUAACAAUGUCAGGAAACGGUACAUUUUUCUUUACAAAUGCAUUUAAAUCCUCAGCAGCGGAACUUCUUAUUAGAACUUAGAAGCCACAUCACAUUAGGAUGGAAAAGGUGUGCAAGUGUGCCUAACAAGGUAACAGACAAUCCAAGACAAAAUUACGAGCGAAAACUUGUGAUUACUAGCACCUACACACAUCAUUGGUCGCAUGAUGCAUCCCUAGAAAGCUUGAAUAGCUGCCAAGAAUAAUCCAGCAGCCCCUCCUAGUGAGCUCCAACAGGGUAGCCACCGCAUUCAACUAGACAUUGUCCAGAACUGAAUGCGCCAAUUUUCAGUUUUGUGUAACUGCAUGAUUUCAGAGUUUGUGCCAUUUUAUUCACCAACGGAACGGAGUGGGUUAUCACCGAGACGGUAUUUCAGGCAUUCUUUUCAGCAAACAAGCGUGCGUAUGUAUGCAAUACCCACGGACGAGCGGACAAAUGAACGACCGCAGCAGCAGCAGCGAAGAGGAAGAGCCGCUCACCUCGGAGACCUCGACGACGCCGGCCUGCUCGAAGAGCUGCGCGAGGCGCUCGCUGUCGACGUCGUAGGGCAGGUUGCCGACGUACACCUUGGCCUCCUCCGGCGGCUCCACGUACUCCCCGACCUCCUCCUCGGCCGCCACGUCAAACUCCUCCUCGGCCACGGCCACGGCGGGCUCCUCCUCCGCGACGGCCUCGAGGGCCUCGUCCUCCGGCUCGGC